rnacentral:rRNA from 1 species
AUGCACGCUGGCGGCGUGCUUAACACCUGCAAGUCGAACGGAACUACUCCAAUGAGAGUCUUCGGAAAGGAUUUGGUUUAGUUUAGUGGCGGACGGGUGAGUAACGCGUGGGUAACCUGCCCUAUACAGGGGGAUAACAGUUGGAAACGACUGUUAAUACCGCAUAAGCGCACAGGAGCGCAUGCUCCGGUGUGAAAAACUCCGGUGGUAUAGGAUGGACCCGCGUCUGAUUAGCUGGUUGGCGGGGUAACGGCCCACCAAGGCGACGAUCAGUAGCCGGCCUGAGAGGGUGAACGGCCACAUUGGGACUGAGACACGGCCCAAACUCCUACGGGAGGCAGCAGUGGGGAAUAUUGCACAAUGGGGGAAACCCUGAUGCAGCGACGCCGCGUGGGCGAAGAAGUAUCUCGGUAUGUAAAGCUCUAUCAGCAGGGAAGAAAAUGACGGGACCUGACUAAGAAGCCCCGGCUAACUACGU